AUUGAACGCUGGCGGCAUGCCUUACACAUGCAAGUCGAACGGCAGCACGGGAGCAAUCCUGGUGGCGAGUGGCGAACGGGUGAGUAAUAUAUCGGAACGUGCCCGGUCGUGGGGAUAACGUAGCGAAAGCUACGCUAAUACCGCAUACGAUCUACGGAUGAAAGCGGGGGAUCGCAAGACCUCGCGCGAUUGGAGCGGCCGAUAUCAGAUUAGGUAGUUGGUGAGGUAAAGGCUCACCAAGCCGACGAUCUGUAGCUGGUCUGAGAGGACGACCAGCCACACUGGGACUGAGACACGGCCCAGACUCCUACGGGAGGCAGCAGUGGGGAAUUUUGGACAAUGGGCGCAAGCCUGAUCCAGCAAUGCCGCGUGCAGGAUGAAGGCCUUCGGUUGUAACUAGCUUUGUUACGGU
rnacentral:rRNA from 1 species